rnacentral:rRNA from 1 species
UACGUAGGGGGCAAGCGUUGUUCGGAAUUACUGGGCGUAAAGGGCGCGUAGGCGGCAGGAGAAGUCGGGAGUGAAAGCCCGGGGCUCAACCCCCGGAACGUCUCUCGAAACUGACCAGCUAGAGUGCGGAAGAGGCAACUGGAAUUCCCAGUGUAGCGGUGAAAUGCGUAGAUAUUGGGAAGAACACCUGAGGCGAAGGCGGCCCCCUGGGCCGAACCUGACGCUGAGGCGCGAAGGCUAGGGGAGCGAACGGG